UGACAGAGACGUGGAUGACGAUGGGGAAGAUGUCCAUCCUGUGUAGGGUGCAGACACUGUCCAGCUGGACGUCCAGGAGGGCAUGGGUGUUCUUUGUGGAAGGGAGAGGAGAAGUGAGUCAAGAUCACAGGCCUCAGAGGAAGCAAAGGGAGCCAACGCCCAGCUGAGGAAACUGAGAUUCAAGGAGUUGGGAGACCUCACCCACAGUCACGUGGAUCCUAACUGGCUGAGAUGAGUUUUGGGCUCCUGCUGGGCUGUUGGGACCCAGAGGUCCGCGACAAGGUCAUCCAGGUCUCAGGUUGGUCCCUGUACCUUUAUCUCAUCCCCCUCCUCUGCAUUCCCGAAACCCUUCCCAGGACAGCUCCCCUGCCCACCCCGCCCUUGCCCUCACCUUUUCCAUGAGGGACUCCACAGCAUGGCGGGUCACCCAGCAGCGGCCCCCGGACACCUCUCCCUCCUGGAUGAUGUCCCCUCUCUGGCUCCAGGCCUCAUACUCCUCCUGGCUCAAGUACUCUGCAGGUGACAUUGGACGGGGCCAUCAUAUACCAGCUGUGUGGGGGUCUGGGGGAGUCCCAUGGUAAACACCCCUGUCCCCGUGAACCCCGCCAGCACUGGGAGGAGCUCUUCUUAGGGUGUCCACUUUACAAACCUGACCCUGCACGCCCCGCUCUGUGCCCUGCACCUCCAUCCUGAACUAUCUGGACACAGCAGGUGAGUGUGGGAAUGUGCGUGGUGGGGGAGGGAAGGAGGAGGGAGGAAGGGGAGGAGGGAGGGAGGGAAGGUGGGAGGGGUAGAGGGAUUCCCAGGCAACAGCAUACCUGCCAGGCACUUCUUAAACCCUUGGAGGAGGCACAGUUUCUCCCUCAGGAUCUUCCCAACCGCCCUGGGCACGAAGAGCACAGGCCGGGGCCGGGCGGGUCGAUGGGGCCGCACCAGGGUAUAGGGCACCAGGGUGAGGCAGCUCUCGGCCCAGAAGCACGUGCUGGAGCCUGUGGAGGAGAGGAUCCUGAGGGUGGGUGAGGCUGCGGCAGCCCCCAGCCAGCCCACCCUGCCCCGGGAGGGACUGGGUCUGCUUUGCUCACUGCAGCAGCCCCAGCACCUAGAAUUCCAGGGACACAGGCUCAGCGGUCACAGGACUCACUCCCAGUUCCAUAGCCCCUGGCUGAGCGGCUCCUUUGCACGGGGGUUACACAGCUCUGUGGCUCUCCAGGGACUGCUUUGCAGCCUGCAACUUAAUCCUGUUUCCUAUAGGCCCAAGGGAGGAUGGCGGAAGCCAGGGUUUUCUUCCUUCCAAAGGAUCUGGGAGAGUGGCACCCUUCUCCUCAGCCAUCCUCCAGGGCACCGGGUCCCAGCCCUCCCUCUGUCCUGUACUCCUCUCCUGAAAUUUUUUUUUUUUCCUGAGAUGGAGUUUUGCUCUUAUUGCCCAGGCUGGAGUGCAAUGGCGACACCUCAGCUCACUGCCACUUCUGCCUCCCGGGUUCAGGCGAUUUUCCUGCCUCAGCCUCCCGAGUAUCUGGGAUUACAGGUGUGCGCCACCACACCCAGCCCCAUGAUUCUUGAAGACCAGAUCCUGGCCUAAAUGAGUGGCAUCCCCCUGCCCCAGCUGACCAACUAGCAGCAGCUCCCAAAGCCCCUCACCCGCUUGGAGCCAGCGGCCCCUGUGCCAGCUCACCAGGCCUCACCCUCCAUCCUGCUGGGGUCCAACUGGCCCCUGUCAAAGGACAAACGCAGAGGGCUGGCCUUGGCUUUGUCCAUACUGACGAUGCGGACCAGCUUCUGUGGUCCCCCAGAAGAUGGCUAAAGGAGGGACGGAGAAAGGAUGAGGAGGAGCUGUUGAAGCCAUCAACAGGAAUGGGAAUUCAGGGGAGAUGAUUGGCACUAGGGCGACCUGGGAGUGAUGCAGAGGCGCAGAUGCUCUGAGAACAGCCUGAGUGCCUCCUGCCACCCUGCCAGCACCGAGCCCCUCUUCCAGCCCACCCCAGUGGGGUCCAGGCCCCUCCCUGGAGCCUCACCUUGCGGGUCACGGUGCACUGCUGAGUCAUGUCCUGGAUGAGGGCUAUGAGCUGCUGCUGAGCCCUGCAGAGACCAGCAGAGGCCCUGACCCAGCUGCCUCCUGCCAGGUGAGCAGGGCAGGGGAGAGCCGAGCAGGGGAGAGUGGGGGAGAUGGCCGGGUGGGAGAGAAGGGCCUCCACCUAGAGCUCCACACACCCCUUUGCUGCAGGCUGGAGCGCUCCAUCC
rnacentral:lncRNA from 1 species